UCUCUCUCUCUCUUUCCGUCUCGAUAACAACAAAAAAACAGAGGCAAUAAAUAAACAGAAAAAAAAGCUCACUGUUUGGUUCAGUUUUGUUUUAAGCACAAAUAGAGAGAUAAAGACAAAUAAACAAAGAAGGAAAACACAAGCGAAAAAGCAUUCACAGAUACACACACCUCAAGCAACUCGAACCACUCCACUUCUAUACGCCUUCACCGCAGCACAGCCGACGUCGCUCUGCAGCCGCCUCUUCCACCAUGUGUGGGUUGAUCAUGUGGCAGUAUGCGGUGUCCUCCAUUGCUUUUGGACAUUGAAGAUUAUUUUUAUUUGUUUCUUGAUCGGACAUUGAGACUAGUGCUCUUCUUGAGUUCAAAAUGUCAAGCAACAGAGUUUUUUUAACAUACAACAGAAGGAGGGUAUCAUCAAGAACUGGUCUUGGCCAUGGAAAUGGCUGUUGGGAUUUACUGUCAAAGGGUUUGAGUGACACUUUGAUGACUGCACCAGACAAGCAUGAUGCACCAAGUGACAAAUGCCAUAGAAGUAGUUGUAGCAAUUCAAUCUCUAAUGGUUUAAGUGACACUUUGAUGACUGCAUCUGAGAAAGAUGAUGCACCAAGUGCCAAGCAUGUACAAGUAGCUCAAAAAACAAAUUCAGUGCAGACUUCUCUCGAGUGUGUUGUAUGUGGUACCGGAGACAACUUAUUCCAAUGUGAUGACUGCCAUCUAAGUUAUCAUCUUCGAUGUCUUGUUCAGUCCAAGAAGCAUAUCCGUCUUGGGAAAAGGCUAUGCUCUGAAUGUUUUAUAAAAAAAUCUCAGCCAGUCCGUAAAUCUAUCAGACUGAAGGCAAGGGAGCACUGUCAAGGAUCUGAUGUGCUACAAAUAACUGUUAAGUCUAAGAGUCCUGGUGAGGUUCCUUCAGAGACUGACACUGGUGAAUGGUCUUCUGUGGAUAUCUCAGCCAAAAACAAGUCAACUGACUUUCAAGGCGGUUCAUGUCCCAAUGCAAACUUUUCUUCUGCAAGUGAUAAUGCAUGCUCUGAAAGUAGAUUAAUUUCUCAGUCAAUGGGGAUGGAAACUGCACAGAGGCUAAAUUUUAUUGGUUCAAAAUCAGCUGAUGAAAGCAAAUAUAGCUUGCCUUGUCAUGAGGGUUCUCCCUUGUCAAAAACAUUAAAAUUGGGAAUCUCCACGGAUGACUUUACCAACUUAUCUGGUGAUUUACUUGUUCGUAGCAAACUGGCCACGCCGUUGAUUACUUUUAGCCGAAAAAAUAAAAGGAAAAAAGAUUUAGAUCAGGCUGAUGCACUGAGGGAUUCAUCUCCUGUGGAGAAUAAUUGUUCAUUGCUAGCCAGGUGGAGUAAUUCUACUCAUGUUAAUAACUCUUCGGCGAUAUCUCAUAAAGGCGGGUCAAUGGAUCAUUCAGGACAUACGGAGCUACAAGGGAAAGAUCCAGAUGGUGGGCAUCUUUGUUGCAAUGAAGAUAAAAUGAGCGAAGUUCAAUCUGUAGAUGUUGGUGCAAGACCUUUCUUGGAAACUAGGAACUGUUUGACAUGUGAGGAUAAGCAAUCACAUGAUGGCAAGAGCGUAUCCGAGGAUGAUUCACUUGCUUCUGUGCAAGAACCAUUCCAAAGUUGCAAAGUCCCUGUGGAUGUUCAGAUAAACUCUGUAAAUAAAACAGUCAAAGAUUCUUCCUCUAAUGGCCUAACUGAAGAUAAAACAUCGGAGGACCAGGAAUUUCAGGCAUGUGCUGGAGAUGAAUCUCAGGUCUUGUCCAGUGAUGGGGUGAAGCCAACAAAAGUUCCUGAAUGUUCAAGAGAAGAAUUACUACCUUGUUUGAACCAUUCUGUUAAUUGCCUUGACUCAUGUUGUGCAAUGGGCUAUUCUAUUGACAUCAAUUCAAGUCCACAAAAGCAACCUCCUAAUUCUGCACCAGUGACUCUUUUGGACUCAUUAGAUUCGUCAAGCAGAAGUCAUACCACUUUAUCACAUGAAGUGUCUCCUUCAGAAUUAAUGGAUGCAAUAAAUGAGAGGGGUGGGAAAUCUCCAUUGGUGCACAACACAAGUGUACCUGCCGAGACAUUGAUGCUUGUGGACGAUGUUGGUGCCAACUGCAGAAAUAAUCCUGGGUGCUCUGUGGACAUUGCAUCAAAAACCAAAUGCCUACCGUUAUUUUUGGAUGAGAAAAGCAAUGAUGUUAUGGCAAUUACAAGAGCUGAGACAAGUGCAUACAUGGUUUCAGAGGAAAGAAAUGCAUUCCAUUUAGCCGGAGAAAUUAAUAAGCUGAAUCCAACUUCAACCAGAUCUUCAUGCUUCUUAGAUUUAUCCUUGCCAAUAGACCCUAAUUUUGGUGGAUACUCCUCCAAGAAUUUCUCCUCUACAUUGCCAUUGCUAAACUGUAGAGAUGAGUUUAAAGAUUUUAUCCAUGGUGAUGUUAACCGAGCCCCAUUUAACCAAACAUCCAAGCAGAGGCACAAGAUGGUGCUUGACAGCAUCAUGAAUCGAGCAAGAGCUUUAAAUGGAAGAGGCAAUUAUCAAGACCAAUUCAAGCCGUACACUAACAUGUGGUCUGAGACGGAGUUGGAUUUUCUCUGGAUUGGUGUCAGGAGACAUGGAAGGGACAAUUGGGAUGCCAUAUUAGGAGAUCCUAGAUUGCAGUUCUCUCCAUGGAGGGUAGCUGCAGACCUUGCUGAGAGGUGGGAGGAGGAACAAUUUAAACUUUUGAAUGGCAUGCCUGUUUUACAAUGCAAAUAUUCAAAAGCACAGGGUGUUUCUUUGGACUCUAAUGAUGCCUUCUUGCAUCCCACAAGAAGAUGCCAGAGAGAAAAUAUGAUUGAUAAAACCCGACUUUCACUCGGUGGUGUGUAUGCUCAUAGAGAUGGCAGUAUCUCAAAGAGACCAUGUUUUGACUUCGCAAACAUUGAAAGCAGUGGCACUGAUCUACUUCAUGGUCCUAUUGCUUACCAAAGGAGGGGUCGUUAUUCAGAUUUUCAUGGGGAAGUAUUUGAUUGGAGUUCGUGUAAUUAUUUCAGAAGCAAGAAUUUGCCUAUGUGUGAUCCAUUAUGGAGCAAAGACCACCCUCUUACUAACUCAAUUGCAAAGGGUGAUAUGCCCCACUGGCUUAGAGAAGCUGUAACUGGUCCACAUGAAAACCCAGCUGUGCCAAUUAUUCCUCCAGCUGGUUCAUCUGUUGCUCAGUCUGGGGCAUUGCAGAUUAGUCAACCUAAUAUUGAUCCUAGUGACCCACACUUCAGGCCCAGGAACAGAGCCCACAGCGAUUUUACUGGUUUAAGAUCAAGUGCUCUACAGCCAUCCACAAGUGCUUAUCACAACUACCCCGGAAUAAGACUUGGAAUUGAUGAGCGAAGUAAAACUUCUUUGUAUAAUACCAAUAAACCAAAUGACCUGAUCAUCAUUGAGAGUGAUGCAUCUUCUGAAGAGACCAUAUCUGAUGAUCAUACUUCAAGGCCCUAAGGUUUGCACUGAAGCUUUUGCGAGCGAAGUUUCUUCAGCACUGUGCGCAUAUGCAUUCUGAUCACCAUCUCUCAAUGGCUGAGGCUCUUGGUAGAUUUCUAUGCAUCUCUGAGAUCUUCUCAGUCCUUUGAGCUCCACCGCCACCUCUUUCAUGGAGCUGGUUCUCCUUCGCUAACGUGAUAAAGUAUGCAAUUGGGCUCCUCUCUUCUAUGUCUAUGGCGAACAAGAAAGGUUUUUUGCCGGUUAAAAGCUCUAUGAGUGCAACCCCAAAGCUAUACAUAUUGCCUUUCUCUGUGAAUUGAUUAGGUUGGUAGUACUCCAGAUCCAGGUAUCCAAAGGUUCUGUGGACUGCUGUGGUCAAGUGUGUUUUAUCAUCAGGAAUAGAUGUUGAAGUUCUGAAAUUGGAAACUCGUGCACUAUACUUUUCAUCAAGGAGUAUAUUUGCUGAUUUGAUGUCAUGAAGAAUGAUGGGGAUCGAGGCUGCAGAAUGCAUAUAAGCUACUGCUCUGGCAACUUCACAAGAGAUUCUGAGCCGAUGCACCCAUGAAAGCGAAGACUUGUGUUCUUGGGGGUGAUCAUGAAUAUGAUGGGAGAGCGUUCUAUUAACGAUGAACUUGUAUAUCAGUAUUGGUACCUUAGUCUCCAAACAACCCAGAGGCUUCACAAUGUUUCUAUGAUGGAUUUGCGAUAGAAUGAUAACUUCAUUUAUGAAUUGCACAAUCUGGCUUUUAUUAACUGCAUUUGGUUUCUUCACAGCAAUGAUACUGCCAUCAGGUAACAUUCCUUUGUACACAGUGCUGUAUCCUCCCUCGCCGAGAACCUGGCUCUGGUUGUAAACUUGUAAUUGUCUGUUGCUUUUUGAAGCUCCUGUGCUGUCAAUGUUUUGGCAUGUUCACUUCUUCCAUGGGAGGACAAUCUUUUUUGUAGCAAGAAUCCACCAUUUUGCCUGAAGAAUUUGUCUUUCCUA